rnacentral:rRNA from 1 species
AGUGAACGCUGGCGGCAGGCCUAACACAUGCAAGUCGAGCGGCAGCGCGGGGGCAACCCUGACGGCGAGCGGCGGACGGGUGAGGAAUACAUCGGAAUCUACCCAGUCGUGGGGGAUAACGUAGGGAAACUUACGCUAAUACCGCAUACGACCUGAGGGUGAAAGCAGGGGACCGCAAGGCCUUGCGCGAUUGGAUGAGCCGAUGUCCGAUUAGCUAGUUGGUGAGGUAAAGGCUCACCAAGGCGACGAUCGGUAGCUGGUCUGAGAGGAUGAUCAGCCACACUGGAACUGAGACACGGUCCAGACUCCUACGGGAGGCAGCAGUGGGGAAUAUUGGACAAUGGGCGCAAGCCUGAUCCAGCCAUGCCGCGUGUGUGAAGAAGGCCUUCGGGUUGUAAAGCACUUUUGUCCGGGAAGAAAAGCCAGGGAUUAAUACCCCCGGGUUCUGACGGUACCGGAAGAAUAAGCACCGGCUAACUUCGUGCCAGCCGCCGCCGUAACAC